rnacentral:lncRNA from 1 species
GCUUCUGCUGUCUGCCCUUCCCCAAACUUGGUGGUUUGGGAUGUUGGGUUGGGGGGCGGGGAACGCGGGGAGAUUUUUGGGACGGGAAGUGUGCUUGGCAAAUGCUCCCAGGCAAGUGCAUUGCAAUGUGAAUCUGUGCCCUGCAGGACAGAAAAAUACCGACGGGUCGCCUAGCAGAUUGGGCAUCGGUGUAACAGUUUUUUUUUUAAAUUAGUCCUCAUCGACCAAGUCUGUCAAAAACAGAGAAGCUGUGGGUUUAUUUGAACAUUUUUAAGGCGCUCAAAGACUUUGUUUAUUUAAAGCACUUUGAGAUAUGCCAGAUUUAAGUAAAUGGAAACUUUAGCCGCCUCAGGUGGGUUUUAUUUUUUGUUGGUUUUCUUUUGGUUUGGGAUUUUUUUUGCUUCAGUUGUUUGAAUUCAUUGUGUGUCUGCACUUUAUCAAAGCCGGCUAUUGAGAAUCCUUUGGGAGAAGAUAAUCUUGUUGGACAGAAGGGAGGAGCACUGAGCAAGAUUUGAGGUAAGCCAUUGUAACGUGUUGUCCGACUCUCCAGCCUGCUGGUAGAAUAUUCAAAGCAAAAACCCAACUGAAGUAAGCUACUCGCAUUGCAAUUUAGACAGGAGCCAGCACAGCCUGAGUAGGUAAGUGUCUUGCUACUUCCUGGGCAAAUUCAGCUGUAAAUAUUUGCCGUCUCUGAAUUUCACCUUUAGCCCUUUUACUUUACUUCUCUCUUCUUUUAACUGUCUGUGAUCAUUUCUGCCUGUGUUCCCUCCCCUACUAAACUCUUUAUUUCCUUCAGAGCGUGGUUCCCAUCCAAUUCAUCUUUGAUUACUCCUAAAACUUUCCAUUCCCAAGUUGUCCACUUGCACAAGGGCAACUCACAUGUGAUUGAACAUGGGAGAGGCUAUCCAGUGACAUGGAGACCAGAGAAGAAAUUAUCAGAGGAAUGGACUGGGGAAAAUGGGACCAUGUUCUAGCUCUUCCAGUGAAAUCCAUUUAUUCAAAGAACAAUGACUGAGCGUUGAGUGCGUCUGAGAUGUUUGCUGUACUCUAAAUGUUUAUGGCCCCUCAAAAUUUAUAUGUUGAAAUCUGAUCUCCAAAAUGAUAGUAUCAGCAGAGGAGGGGACUUUGGGGAUGAGUGGGUCAUGAGGGUGGAACCACAUAAAAGGGAUCUGUGCCCUUUUAAAAGAGGCUGCAGAUAGCUCUGUCGCCCCUUUGGCCUCUGGAGGAUACAAGGAGAAGUUAGGGAUCUGCGGCAAGGAAUAGGGCUCUCACCAGUGAGCACUGACUGCCAGGAUUCUGGUCUUGGACUUCCAGCUCUAGAACUGGGAGGAAUAAAUGUUUGUUGUUUAUAAACUACCCAGUGUUUGGUAUUUUGUUUUAGCAGCUUGAAUGGACUAAGACAAUGUCAUUCUAAGAUGUGUGGGGAUAGGAAUAUUCUAGUGUUGUGCCUGCCGUCAAGAGUAUGGUUAAUUUGCAUUCUGGAGGUCCUCAGGCAUUCAGCUGUAAUUGGACAAACACAACUGAAGUUUUUAUGAGUCACUUAAGGACCUCUAGUCAAGCAUCUUCACUCAGUAGGCUCAGAAUGUACAAGAACACUGAGAAAUCCAGGGGGAAAGUCUCCCAACACAAAGUAUGCCAAGCCUUGGGAUUCCCCUGCCUGUUUUUCCAAAUAUUGCAACUUCUUACCUUUGCAUGCUAUGCUGCGAUGAUAAAACCUCCCAACUUUGUCUCUUACCUCUUUGCACAUUUACAUUUGGUUUUUUCUACAUCUGUAGCACUCUUCCUAUUUUCAUCUUCAUCUUAAUUCUUUCCCUCAUUUUUCAUGAUUCAGUUCCUACAUUAGAAAGCUUUUCCUUUCUAAAGGACUGGUUAGGGAGUUCCUGUUGUGGUGCACUGGAAAUGAAUCUGAUUAGUUAUCCAUGAGGAUUCGGGUUUGACCCCUGGCCUCACUCAGUAGGUUAAGGAUCCAGCAUUGCUGUGAGCUGUGGUGUAGGUCACAGACACGAAUAAAGGACUGCUUAGGAGUUUCUCCUAGGUGUUUCCAUGUUGCACUGUGCUCAUCUCUUUCAUAUCACACUAAAAUGAUAGUUAUCUUCUUGAGGUGAGUUCUACUUUAGAUGGGGAGCAACUUGAGGACCAGAGUUAUGCCUUUACAUGCAUCCCCAGGAAAAUGGCAGUAUGAGGAGCUCUAUGGAGUUACUCCCCAGGAAACACCUACAACUGGUGAAUAUUUUAGACAACAAGCAUUUAAAAUUUCUUGGCACUGGAGUUCCUGUCGUGGUUCAGUGGUUAAUGAAUCUGACUAGCAUCCAUGAGGACACAGGUUCGAUCCCUGGCCUUGCUCAGUGGGUUAAGGAUUUGGCAUUGCCGUGAGUUGUGGUAUAGGUUGCAGAUGUGGCUCGGAUCUGGUGUUGCUGUGGCUGUGGCAUAGGCUGGCAGCUACACUCCGAUUUGAUCCCUAUCCUGGGAACCUCCAUAUGGUGCGGGUGUGGCCCUAAAAAGCAAAAAAAAAAAAAAAGUUUCUUGACGUUGAAGGGAAUACAGCAGAUGUAGAAACAUUUAUUCAAGAACAUCUACUAAAUCUUGGUAAGAACAGCGAGAGUCAGUGGCACUUGAGCUAUGACCUCCAACCCCAACCCCACCCCCCACUCAGUGUAACAGAAGCUCCACUCUGGUUGGCCGUGGCCAAGAAGAUGACAGUCGAUCUUCCCCUAGAUCUCAGUAAAGGGCUGUGGAUCUCCUGGGAGAGACAGGCUGCCAGCAUUUUCAUCCUCCUUAGCAUAAUGUUGCAAAGGCUGAAUUCCAAUAAAUGGGUGCUAGAGAUUAGAGAGACAUUACUCAUAGAAGAGAGGCUCUAUCCUAGGGUCAGGAGGCCAGCAGUGCUGGGGCCCCAAACAACCUCAGCUCACACAGCUUACUCAUGAGUUCCAGGCCAGGAGAGGCAGCCUGGGAACAGAAGCUACUGUCCUCUUCCAUAGCCCUGCUUAUAAAGCAUGGGUAGUGUAUGGCUCUAAAAGAAAAGGGACACUUCUUCCCCAUUCCCAUCUUGAUCAGAGAUUUUGCCCAAUGGGAGAGAAAAGUCCAUUACAGCAGAGAACUCUGAAGCUCUCCACAGAGGAACUGACUUCAUUUGGAAGGGUGUGAGGAAAUUAAAACCUAAGGGUGCUCUUGAAAAUAAUGCAUAUUCUGGUGGUAAAGUAAUUAAGAGGAUGCUGGUAGUUGCAUGCAGCAGCAGGAAGUUAAACUGCAGACCUGCUAGUUUACCAGAGAAAGCCUGGCAAAGAGACAACUUGGGAUCAGAACAAAGCUCAAGAUGGGACUCAAAGGCUAUCUCUGUAAAGAAAACUAAAUGUAAUUGGAUUAAACUAUGGAGCAAUUCAUGCCCCUAGGACAUUGUCAGAAGCAGUAGAGCAAUCAGCUAACAAUUAGUGGAGCCUAAUAGCUGGGUGUGCUACUCAAAGAGGCAGGCAGUUUAACGGAGAGAUCAGGGAAAGAGACAAGAGCACUGUUGAAACCAUUGUCAUCCCAAGCUGGCUCUGUGCCUAGCCUCAGGACAUUGAUCCAUUCUCAAUAAAAACUAUAGAACUUUAUUAAAGAUGCUAAAGAUUACUUGAAUGUUUACAAAUAUGGACACUCCAUAUGAUAAAAAUGUUUCCUUUCCAGAGUUUCCGUUGUCGCACAGCAGAAACAAAUCGGACUAGUAACCAUGAGGAUGCAGGUUUAAUCCCUGGCCUCGCUCAGUGGGUCAGCAAUCAGGCAUUGCUAUGGCUGUGGUGUAGGCCCAGAGCUGUAGCUCCGAUUUGUCCUCUAGCAUGGGAACUUCCAUAUGCCUCAGGUUCGGCCCUAAAAAAAAAAAAAA